rnacentral:lncRNA from 1 species
CAACGUCUACCAAUCAACACCUGCCCUUUUCUGAAAAAAUAGACAAACUAAAAAUAUUACCUUUGUGUGCCAUAGAGGCACUGACCGGGUAAGAUGUCUUGGACAUAAUAUGUUGGAGGGCUUCCAACUGCUCAGGGGCAAAUAGGCCUUUUUCCACUGCAUCAGAGGGCAUUUCCUCAUCAACAACGUGAUUCCCUUGAUGCUUGCUGGAGCUCUUUGCCUUCGACGUCUUCCACUCAUCGGAAGAUGGUUUCUAGUUGCUUGGUUUGCUGUGAAGUUUCCAGCAACGAUCCUUAGUGUGUCCUAGCUUCCGACGUGAUCGCACCAGGGUCUCG